GUAACCUGCCUUAUAGUGGGGGAUAGCCGUUUCGAAAGGAAGAUUAAUACCGCAUAAGAUUGUAGUAUCGCAUGAUAUAGCAAUUAAAAGGAGCAAUUCGCUAUAAGAUGGACCCGCGUCGCAUUAGCUAGUUGGUGAGGUAAUGGCUCACCAAGGCGACGAUGCGUAGCCGACCUGAGAGGGUGAUCGGCCACAUUGGGACUGAGACACGGCCCAGACUCCUACGGGAGGCAGCAUG
rnacentral:rRNA from 1 species